rnacentral:rRNA from 1 species
GUGAACGCUGGCGGUAGGCCUAACACAUGCAAGUCGCACGGCAGCACAGUAAGAGCUUGCUCUUACGGGUGGCGAGUGGCGAACGGGUGAGGAAUACAUCGGAAUCUACUUUUUCGUGGGGGAUAACGUAGGGAAACUUACGCUAAUACCGCAUACGACCUACGGGUGAAAGCAGGGGAUCUUCGGACCUUGCGCGAUUGAAUGAGCCGAUGUCGGAUUAGCUAGUUGGCGGGGUAAAGGCCCACCAAGGCGACGAUCCGUAGCUGGUCUGAGAGGAUGAUCAGCCACACUGGAACUGAGACACGGUCCAGACUCCUACGGGAGGCAGCAGUGGGGAAUAUUGGACAAUGGGCGCAAGCCUGAUCCAGCCAUACCGCGUGGGUGAAGAAGGCCUUCGGGUUGUAAAGCCCUUUUGUUGGGAAAGAAAAGCAGCAGGUUAAUACCCCGCUGUUCUGACGGUACCCAAAGAAUAAGCACCGGCUAACUUCGUG